CACCCUGCAGAGAUCUGUGGACCAGGUUACCAUAGUCGUCAGAAAUCCACCAGAGUUUAGAACGUCAGCACAAAGAAAGUGGAAGGUGACGGACAUCCGGCCG